rnacentral:rRNA from 1 species
UGGGGAAUAUUGCACAAUGGGGGGAACUCUGAUGCAGCGACGCCGCGUGAACGAAGAAGGCUUUCGAGUCGUAAAGUUCUUUUAUAUGGGAAGAUAAUGACGGUACCAUAAGAAAAAGCCCCGGCUAACUACGUGCCAGCAGCCGCGGUAAUACGUAGGGGGCUAGCGUUGUCCGGAAUCACUGGGCGUAAAGGGUUCGCAGGCGGAAAUGCAAGUCAGGUGUAAAAGGCAGUAGCUUAACUACUGUAAGCAUUUGAAACUGCAUAUCUUGAGACGAGUAGAGGUAAGUGGAAUUUUUAGUGUAGCGGUGAAAUGCGUAGAUAUUAAAAAGAAUACCGGUGGCGAAGGCGACUUACUGGGCUCAUUCUGACGCUGAAGAACGAAAGCGUGGGUAGCAAACAGG